GACAAAAGGAAAGAGAGAAAAUCAUCACCUAGUAAGGAAAAUGAGUCAAGCGACAGUGAAGAAGAAGUUUCCAGGCCUCGGAAGUCACGGAAACGUGUAGAUUCAGAUUCAGAUUCAGAUUCAGAAGACGAUAUAAAUUCAGUGAUGAAAUGUUUGCCAGAAAAUUCAGCUCCUUUAAUCGAAUUUGCAAAUGUGUCCCAGGGUAUUUUAUUACUUCUCAUGUUAAAACAACAUUUGAAGAAUCUUUGUGGAUUUUCUGAUAGUUCAAACUUCUCAUGGAACAUCUGGACCCUGAUGAAGAAGAAGAAGAAGGGGAGGUUUCAGCUAGCACAAAUGCUCGGAACAAAGCAAUUACCUCACUGCUUGGAGGAGGCAGCCCUAAAAAUAAUACAGCAGCAGAGACAGAAGAUGAUGAAAGUGAUGGGGAGGAUAGAGGAGGAGGCACUUCAGGG
rnacentral:lncRNA from 1 species